UCCAGGUUAUCCCUGGCGGUCUCCUGCGAGUUCCCAACUUAAUGAUGGCAACACAGGACAAGGGUUGCGCUCGUUGCGGGACUUAACCCAACAUCUCACGACACGAGCUGACGACAGCCAUGCAGCACCUAUACUACUGUCCCUUGUGGGAAGGCCUACUUUCGUAAGCUGGUCAGCAGCAUUUCGAGCCCAGGUAAGGUUCUUCGCGUUGCGUCGAAUUAAACCACAUGCUCCACCGCUUGUGCGGGCCCCCGUCAAUUCCUUUGAGUUUCAGCCUUGCGACUGUACUCCCCAGGCGGCAUAUUCAACGCGUUAGCUCCGGCACGGACCAAAUGAAUGGCCCACACCAAAUAUGCAUCGUUUAGGGCGUGGACUAC
rnacentral:misc_RNA from 1 species